UGUUGACCUCGGAUCAGGUAGGAAUACCCGCUGAACUUAAGCAUAUCAAUAAGCGG
rnacentral:rRNA from 4 species